CAAUAGCGUAUAUUAAAGUUGUUGCGGUUAAAAAGCUCGUAGUUGGAUUUCUGCUGAGGAUGACCGGUCCGCCCUCCGGGUGAGUAUCUGGCUCAGCCUUGGCAUCUUCCUGAAGAACGUAACUGCACUUGACUGUGUGGUGCGGUAUUUAGGACAUUUACUUUGAGGAAAUUAGAGUGUUUCAAGCAAGCGCACGCCUUGAAUACAUUAGCAUGGAAUAAUAAGAUAGGACCUCGGUUCUAUUUUGUUGGUUUCUAGAGCUGAGGUAAUGAUUGAUAGGGAUAGUUGGGGGCGAUUAGUAUUUAAUUGUCAGAGGUGAAAUUCUUGGAUUUAUGAAAGACUAACUACUGCGAAGCAUUUGUCCAAGGAUGUUUUCUAUUAAUUCAAGAACGAAAGUUAAGGGGAGUCGAAGACGAUCAGAUACCA
rnacentral:rRNA from 1 species